CCGCCCGUCACACCAUGAGAGUUGAUAAUACCAGAAGUCGGUAUUCUAACCGCAAGGAGGAAGCCGCCCAAGGUAGGAUUGAUGAUUAGGGUGAAGUCGUAACAAGGUAUCCGUACGAGAACGUGCGGAUGGAUCACCUCCUUUCUAUGGAGUUAAUACUUUAUAGUAAUUAACUAGUUUUAAUGACCGUUAUGUUUAGUUUUCAGAGAUUAGUUUCUCUGAAAAUAACAAGUAAAUGUUAUUGGAAUUGUUCUUUGAAAACUGGAUAAUAGACAUCUAGUUAUUUUAAUCACAUGAUUAAAAUAACAAUAAUUCAAAAUUUCUGUUAUUUUUAAAAAAUAACUAAAAUUUCACAGUUAUAUUUGUAAAUGAUUCUCAAAAAACUGAUUUAAAAUCAGGUCAAAUAAUUUAUAAAACUUUGAAGUUACAAAGGGCGUAUGGUGAAUGCCUUGGGAAUAGGAGACGAUGAAGGACGUGACUACCUGCGAUAAGGUUCGGGGAGCUGGAAGUAAGCUUUGAUCCGGACAUGUCCGAAUGGGGAAACCCGGUGAGAUUAAUCUCUCAUCAUCCUAUAAUGAAUAAAUAGUUAUAGUGAAGGUAUACCUAGGGAAUUGAAACAUCUUAGUACCUAGAGGAAAAGAAGGCGAAUGCGAUUCUCUUAGUAGCGGCGAGCGAACGGGGAACAGCCCAAACCAGAUUUAUCUGGGGUUGUAGGACCAUAAAUAGUAGAGUUACAAAACUUGUUUAUAGUAGAAAUGGUUGGGAAACCAUGCCGUAGAGGGUGAUAGCCCCGUAUACGAAAUAGACAAGACUCGAAAUGGAAUCCUGAGUACGGCGAGACACGUGAAAUCUUGUCGGAAUCAACGCGGACCACCGCGUAAGGCUAAAUACUACCUAUUCACCGAUAGUGAACCA
rnacentral:sRNA from 1 species